CAGCAGUCGCCACGGGAAUACGUAGGUGGCAAGCGUUGUCCGGAAUUAUUGGGCGUAAAGGGCUCGCAGGCGGUUUCUUAAGUCCGAUGUGAAAGCCCCCGGCUCAACCGGGGAGGGUCAUUGGAAACUGGGAAACUUGAGUGCAGAAGAGGAGAGUGGAAUUCCACGUGUAGCGGUGAAAUGCGUAGAUAUAUGGAGGAACACCGGUGGCGAAAGCGGCUCUCUGGUCUGUAACUGACGCUGAGGCUCGAAAGUGUGGGGAGCAAACAGGAUUAGAUACCCCGGUAGUCCCUGUCUCUUAUAU
rnacentral:rRNA from 1 species